ensembl:rRNA 5S_rRNA 5S ribosomal RNA
GCUUGCAGACAUACCACACUGAGCACACCCGAUCUCGUACGAUCUCAGAAGCUAAGCAGUGCUGGGCCUGGUAAGUAGUUGGGUGUGAGACCGCCUGGGAAAGACCAGGUGCUGUAAUCA